AUAGCGUAUAUUAAAGUUGUUGCAGUUAAAAAGCUCGUAGUUGAACUUCAGACCUGGCCGGACGGUCUGCCUAACGGUAUGUACUGUCUGGCUGGGCCUUACCUCUUGGUGAGCCGGCAUGCCCUUCACUGGGUGUGUUGGGGAACCAGGACUUUUACCUUGAGAAAAUUAGAGUGUUCAAAGCAGGCUUAUGCUCGAAUACAUUAGCAUGGAAUAAUAAAAUAGGACGUGCGGUUCUAUUUUGUUGGUUUCUAGAGUCGCCGUAAUGAUUAAUAGGGAUAGUCGGGGGCAUCAGUAUUCAAUUGUCAGAGGUGAAAUUCUUGGAUUUAUUGAAGACUAACUACUG
rnacentral:rRNA from 1 species